UACGGAGGGUGCGAGCGUUCAUCGGAAUUACUGGGCGUACAGCGCGCGUAGGUGGCUUGAUAAGCAGGUUGUGAAAGCCCCGGGCUCAACCUGGGGACGGCAUCCGGAACUGUCAGGCUAGAGUGCAGGAGAGGAAGGUAGAAUUCCCGGUGUAGCGGUGAAAUGCGUAGAGCUCGGGAGGAAUACCAGUGGCGAAGGCGGCCUUCUGCACUGACACUGACACUGAGGUGCGAAAGCGUGGGUAGCAAACAGG
rnacentral:misc_RNA from 1 species